UCGAGCGAACCUUCGGGUUAGCGGCGGACGGGUGAGUAACGCGUGGGAAUAUGCCCUUUGGUACGGAAUAGCCUCGGGAAACUGAGAGUAAUACCGUAUGUGCCCUUCGGGGGAAAGAUUUAUCGCCAAAGGAUUAGCCCGCGUUGGAUUAGGUAGUUGGUGGGGUAAUGGCCUACCAAGCCUACGAUCCAUAGCUGGUUUGAGAGGAUGAUCAGCCACACUGGGACUGAGACACGGCCCAG
rnacentral:rRNA from 1 species